rnacentral:rRNA from 1 species
GUGGCGGACGGGUGAGUAACGCGUAGGAAUCUAUCCAUGGGUGGGGGAUAACUCCGGGAAACUGGAGCUAAUACCGCAUGAUACCUGAGGGUCAAAGGCGCAAGUCGCCUGUGGAGGAGCCUGCGUUUGAUUAGCUUGUUGGUGGGGUAAAGGCCUACCAAGGCGAUGAUCAAUAGCUGGUCUGAGAGGAUGAUCAGCCACACUGGGACUGAGACACGGCCCAGACUCCUACGGGAGGCAGCAGUGGGGAAUAUUGGACAAUGGGGGCAACCCUGAUCCAGCAAUGCCGCGUGUGUGAAGAAGGUUUUCGGAUUGUAAAGCACUUUCGGCGGGGACGAUGAUGACGGUACCCGCAGAAGAAGCCCCGGCUAACUUCGUGCCAGCAGCCGCGGUAAUACGAAGGGGGCUAGCGUUGCUCGGAAUGACUGGGCGUAAAGGGCGUGUAGGCGGUUUGUACAGUCAGAUGUGAAAUCCCCGGGCUUAACCUGGGAGCUGCAUUUGAUACGUGCAGACUAGAGUAUGAGAGAGGGUUGUGGAAUUCUCAGUGUAGAGGUGAAAUUCGUAGAUAUUGGGAAGAACACCGGUGGCGAAGGCGGCAACCUGGCUCAUUACUGACGCUGAGGCGCGAAAGCGUGGGGAGCAAACAGGAUUAGAUACCCUGGUAGUCCACGCUGUAAACGAUGUGUGCUGGAUGUUGGGUAACUUAGUUACCUCAGUGUCGUAGCUAACGCGAUAA